UACGUAGGGGGCAAGCGUUGUCCGGAUUUAUUGGGCGUAAAGAGCGUGUAGGCGGUCUGGUAGGUCCGUUGUGAAAACUCGAGGCUCAACCUCGAGACGCCGAUGGAAACCCUCAGACUAGAGUCCGGAAGAGGAGAGUGGAAUUCCUGGUGUAGCGGUGAAAUGCGCAGAUAUCAGGAAGAACACCAGUGGCGAAGGCGGCUCACUGGCCCGGUACUGACGCUGAGGUGCGAAAGCGUGGGGAGCAAACAGG
rnacentral:rRNA from 1 species